rfam:Peptococcaceae bacterium SCADC1_2_3 contig_21, whole genome shotgun sequence.
GAUAGUAAAAGGUACUAAAUCUUGUCGAAAGACAGGGUGCAAAGCAAUGGGGCUAAGGCCAUUUAUAGCUAGUAUUGCCAGGUUACCAUG